rnacentral:rRNA from 1 species
GACGAACGCUGGCGGCGUGCUUAACACAUGCAAGUCGAACGGAAAGGCCUGCUUUCCCUUGUGGAUUGCGGGUACUCGAGUGGCGAACGGGUGAGUAACACGUGAGUGAUCUGCCCCCAACUUGGGUAUAAGCCUGGGAAACUGGGUCUAAUUCCCGAUAGGACUGCAGGGUGGUGCCUGUGGUGGAAAACGAUUUUCUAGUGGUUGGGGAUGAGCUCGCGGCCUAUCAGCUUGUUGGUGGGGUAAUGGCCUACCAAGGCGGCGACGGGUAGCCGGCCUGGGAGGGUGGACGGCCACAUUGGGACUGAGAUACGGCCCAGACUCCUACGGGAGGCAGCAGUGGGGAAUAUGGCACAAUGGGCGGAAGCCUGAUGCAGCGACGCCGCGGGGGGGAUGACGGCCUUCGGGUUGUAAACUCCUUUCGACCGCGAGGAAGCCACCUGGUUGGAAGGGUGGUGACGGUAGUGGGAGAAGAAGCACCGGCUAACUACGUG